rnacentral:tRNA from 1 species
CGGGGCGUAGCUCAGCUUGGCUAGAGCGCAGCGUUCGGGACGCUGAGGUCGCAGGUUCAAAUCCUGUCGCCCCGA